UUGCGGUUAAAAAGCUCGUAGUUGGAUUUCUGUCGAAGACGGUCGGUCCGCUCUAUGAGCGUGUAUCUGAUUCGGCUUUGGCAUCCUCGUGGGGAACGUAACUGUGCUUGAUUGCAUGGUGCGGAAUUCACGACUUUUACUUUGAGGAAAUUAGAGUGUUCACGGCAGGCAAGCGCCUUGAAUACAUUAGCAUGGAAUAAUAAUAUAGGACUUUGGUUCUAUUUUGUUGGUUUCUAGGACCAAAGUAAUGAUUAAUAGAGAUAAUUGGGGGCAUUUGUAUUAACGCGUCAGAGGUGGAAUUCUUGGAUUGCGUUACGACAAACUACUGCGAAAGCAUUUGCCAAGGAUGUUUUCAUUGAUCAAGAACGA
rnacentral:rRNA from 1 species